GUAGUCAUAUGCUUGUCAAAGAUUAAGCCAUGCAUGUUUAAGUAUAAGCAAUCUAUACAGUGAAACUGCGAAUGGCUCAUUAAAUCAGUUAUCGUUUAUUUGAUAGUACCUUACUACUUGGAUAACCGUGGUAAUUCUAGAGCUAAUACAUGCUAAAAACCCCGACUUCGGAAGGGGUGUAUUUAUUAGAUAAAAAACCAAUGCUCUUCGGGGCUCCUUGGUGAUUCAUAAUAACUUAACGAAUCGCAUGGCCUUGUGCCGGCGAUGGUUCAUUCAAAUUUCUGCCCUAUCAACUUUCGAUGGUAGGAUAGUGGCCUACCAUGGUUUCAACGGGUAACGGGGAAU
rnacentral:rRNA from 1 species